CCCCUCAUUUAACGGACCGGAUCUUGCUCGGUCACGGAGGCGCUCCAUCAUCGCUGGAAUCUUCCCCGGUCGUUUCCCCUCCACCAGUUUCGCGUAUCCCCCAAUCCCUGAACUCUCUCCGCUUCCUUCUCUUCCUCGAACACGGUACCGGCGUCCAGUACUCGCCCCGCGCAGUGCGUUUCUCCAUUAAGAUUCCCCUCGUUCGCCCGUUCGCCCGUUUCUCGUCCGAUUCCCUCAGGAGAUGUCUUUUAGUUGUCCUUUUGAAGAACAUACAGCCACCAAUGAAGGGGGCCGGGAAUGGAGUUUCCGGUCCUUGGGGAUGGUCCCUUCGUAUUUGAGGAUUAAAAUUUGGUUUAUCGUGAAGAUUAUAGAGCGCAGCAAGAACUCGAGGAACAAUUGGCUGAUGAUACUCAAUCAAAUGUUAGUGCAACUGCGCUGUGGAAACAUGUUGUCAAAGGGGAAAAGUGUAGAAAUUCUCAUGGUGGUUCUCAUGUCUUCAAGUGUAAGUAUUGCCACAAGAUGUAUCAUGAUAGCUACACCUGCAAAAAUCUACAAAUGCAAAUAAAAAGGGAAGUUGAGAACAUUGAGAGCUCACCUAAUGUCGUUCCUUUGAAGCUCAAUGCAGGUUCAGGAACAACUUGGCAAGGACCUUCUUUGCCUUUGUCCUGUGUAAGUUCUUUUGAGCAGGAGUAUUCGACGCAGGAUAGAGAUGACGUUGAUUCUAAAGUAAUACGAUGCUUAUGUGCUAACGACCUCCCCUUCAGUGUUCUGCGAUCACCAUAUUGGGAAGAAAUGGUAUUGGCAAUUAGUCAAGAAUUGAGCUAUGAAAGUCCCUCUUAUGAGAGAGCAACUUCCAUAAGUAGAAGCGGCCACAAUUUGGAAUUUCAAUUGUAUCAAAUGGUUGGAGGGACAUAAAGAACCUACCUUUGAUAAACAUUUGGGCUUCAAACCAAUUUGGAUCCAUGUUCUCGAAUGCCCUUGACUUUGUAGCAGUUGAGAGAAAUCACAGAAAGGCAUUUCUGAUUUCAUGUUAGAAGUAAUCGAGAAGGUGGGUUUGUAUGUUCAAUUGAUAACGACAGUUCAAUCAACUGCAACACUGCUAGUGAUGAAGUGGCACAAGUGUAUCCUCGCUUAUUUUGGAAUCCUUGCAUGAUUCACACUUCAAGUUUGAUACUAAAGGAUGUUAUGAGCACACCUCCUUGGCUUAAGCAGACAUAUCAAACCACUAAAGGUAUAGUUAGAUAUCUCUUAUACCAUCCCCAUUCUGUCAAUAUCUUCCAAGAUUAUCGAGAUUGGAUUUACUGAAAGUCACAGGACAAGAAGUUGUUUAGUAUACAAGAUUAUCAGACCAAUAUACAAGAUCAUCAAGUUUUCUGAUCAAGAUGGUCCUCUUAUCGGCGAGGUAUGCGAGAAAAUGGAUGAUAUGCUGGGGGAAAAUUAAAGAAAAAUCUGAGCGGGCUUGAAGAUAUGUAUGUAAUUGUGGAAGAAAAGGUCCUUACAGGGUGGAACAAGAAGAAAUUUCCCUUACACUGUUUGACCUACACACUCAUUCCAAAGUACUACGGUGAGGAAUACCUACAACUUCCGGCACCGGGAUGUAGGAAGAGAUGCCCUCCAGAUCAAGAUGAUGAGGCAUUUGAGGGUGCUAUUGCUGCCAUAUGUAAAAUGCACCCAAAUGCUGAUCGCCAGGAUGUUAUUCGCAUACAAUUUCUGUCCUUCAUUGAGAAGAAGGGGAAGUUCUCGUCACCCAUAGCCAAGAGAGAUGCCAGAAAUCCCAAAAACAAUGUUUUCCACUAGUGGAAGUUUCAUGGUGGCCAUACGAACGAGCUCAGUACAUCAGUUCUUUUUCAGUUGAGAGACCACGGAGUACCAUAUCCAAAGUGCAAAGAGACAGGCUAAAUUCGAGUUAUGUUGAUGAUCUAGCAUUCAUACAUUCGAACUUAUGGUUAUUGUCUAGGUAGUGUCUUUUCCCGUUUCCCAAACUUCUAAUUUGCACGAUUUAGACAGUUUCAAGUAUGCAUCAUCGAAUCGUACUUAGGAUCUAACUCCAGGCGUAAUUCCAAGUACAAGUAUGCUGAAUCAGUUUUCCAGUGGGAGGAUUUGUGCUUCAUGGGUCUGGACGAUGCUGAUGGCUCAUUGUUGAAACAUACUUCUCAUUCUAGUAUUCCUAUACAAGAGCUUUUGCGGAUCAUUGAAGAUGUUCCCUCCGCCGAUAAUCCAUGUGUGCAGUGCAGGCACAGGGAGAGGAGGCCUAGCUGGUAUUCCAAGUAGGCUUGAUCACAAAGGUGUACUUUGACAAAGAUUAUCUAUCAUGUGUACAUUCUGAUGAAAUUUAUCGUAAGUUCAAAUUCUAAAGCCUUUGUUUGCUUCGGUGGAUGGAAUGGGAAGGGUGAAAGGUCGAAGAAGGGGGCGGCGGCGAGAGAAUUGGUUGAGGGAGGAUACUGAGUUUGUUUAGUUAGGAGGAUGGAAGGGGAAGAGAGGAUUAAGAAAUCUUCCAUAUGCUGACUUGUCAUGUUCAUGCCCUGCCCCUUUAACCAAUUACUGCCAUUUCUUUUUGAAAUACAUUA